rnacentral:rRNA from 1 species
GACGAACGCUGGCGGCGUGCCUAAUACAUGCAAGUUGAGCGCUGAAGGUUGGUACUUGUACCGACUGGAUGAGCAGCGAACGGGUGAGUAACGCGUGGGGAAUCUGCCUUUGAGCGGGGGACAACAUUUGGAAACGAAUGCUAAUACCGCAUAAAAACUUUAAACACAAGUUUUAAGUUUGAAAGAUGCAAUUGCAUCACUCAAAGAUGAUCCCGCGUUGUAUUAGCUAGUUGGUGAGGUAAAGGCUCACCAAGGCGAUGAUACAUAGCCGACCUGAGAGGGUGGUCGGCCACAUUGGGACGGAGACACGGCCCAAACUCCUACGGGAGGCAGCAGGAGGGAAUCUUCGGCAAUGGGCGAAAGUCUGACCGAGCAACGCCGCGUGAGGGAAGAAGGGUUUCGGAUCGUAAAACUCGGUUGGUAGGGAAGAACGUUGGUGAGAGUGGAAAGCUCAUCAAGUGACGGUAACUACCCAGAAAGGGACGGCUAACUACGUG